rnacentral:rRNA from 1 species
GAUGAACGCUGGCGGCGUGCUUAACACAUGCAAGUCGAACGAUGAAGCCCAGCUUGCUGGGUGGAUUAGUGGCGAACGGGUGAGUAACACGUGAGUAACCUGCCCUUGACUCUGGGAUAAGCCUGGGAAACUGGGUCUAAUACUGGAUAUGACUUCUCAUCGCAUGGUGGGGGGUGGAAAGAUUUAUUGGUCUUGGAUGGACUCGCGGCCUAUCAGCUUGUUGGUGAGGUAAUGGCUCACCAAGGCGACGACGGGUAGCCGGCCUGAGAGGGUGACCGGCCACACUGGGACUGAGACACGGCCCAGACUCCUACGGGAGGCAGCAGUGGGGAAUAUUGCACAAUGGGCGCAAUCCUGAUGCAGCGACGCCGCGUGAGGGAUGACGGCCUUCGGGUUGUAAACCUCUUUCAGUAGGGAAGAAGCGAGAGUGACGGUACCUGCAGAAGAAGCGCCGGCUAACUACGUG